rnacentral:rRNA from 1 species
AUCUAAUCCAGAGUACCACGAGACACGUGAAACCUUGUGGGAAGCAGGGAGGACCACCUCCCAAGGCUAAAUACUACCUAGUGACCGAUAGUGAAGCAGUACCGGGAGGGAAAGGUGAAAAGAACCCCGGAAGGGGAGUGAAAUAGAACCUGAAACCGUGUGCCUACAACCGAUCGGAGCACGUUAAAGUGUGACGAUGUGCUUUUUGUAGAACGAGCCAGCGAGUUAC